rnacentral:rRNA from 1 species
UACGGGAGGCAGCAGUGGGGAAUAUUGCACAAUGGGCGCAAGCCUGAUGCAGCCAUGCCGCGUGUAUGAAGAAGGCCUUCGGGUUGUAAAGUACUUUCAGCGGGGAGGAAGGGAGUAAAGUUAAUACCUUUGCUCAUUGACGUUACCCGCAGAAGAAGCACCGGCUAACUCCGUGCCAGCAGCCGCGGUAAUACGGAGGGUGCAAGCGUUAAUCGGAAUUACUGGGCGUAAAGCGCACGCAGGCGGUUUUGUUAAGUCAGAUGUGAAAUCCCCGGGCUCAACCUGGGAACUGCAUCUGAUACUGGCAAGCUUGAGUCUCGUAGAGGGGGUAGAAUUCCGAGGUGUAGCGGUGAAAUGCGUAGAGAUCGUGGAGGAAUACCGGUGGCGAAGGCGGCCCCUGGGACGAAGCUGACGCUCAGGUGCGAAAGCGUGGGGAGCAAACGAGGAUUACGAUACCCGGU